rnacentral:rRNA from 1 species
UACAGAGGGUGCGAGCGUUAAUCGGAAUUACUGGGCGUAAAGCGCGCGUAGGCGGCUUUGCAAGUCGGGUGUGAAAUCCCCAGGCUUAACCUGGGAACUGCAUUCGAGACUGCAUUGCUAGAGUAUGGGAGAGGGAAGUGGAAUUUCCGGUGUAGCGGUGAAAUGCGUAGAUAUCGGAAGGAACAUCAGUGGCGAAAGCGACUUCCUGGACCAAUACUGACGCUCAUGUGCGAAAGCGUGGGGAGCAAACAGGAUUGAGA